UUUUGAAAUGGUGAGUUAGGAAAUCUUUACUAGGUCUGGGGUGGAUUUCUUAAAAGUGGUUUCCUGAUCGUGUCACGUGACUUCCUUGUGUGUUAUAUUCCUUCUUUUGUAGCAGAAAUAAACUUUUUCCAUUUCAUUUUGAGUGCAUAAUCAUUAGAUUUCGUUAAAAGACUCUACUCAAGGAUCAAAGUUCAGCCCUCAAAAGCUAAUGAUUUUUUUUCAUUUGAAAUCUUUCCAAGUCUUUGCCAUUGCACACUCUAAAAAAUGCUGGGUUGUUUCAACCCAACUUUGGGUCAAAUAUGGACUAACCCAGCAAUUUUUAACCCAAAAGUUGAGGUUUGGAACAUUGCCAGUUUACAUCGGCAUUCCCUAUAUAUUUAUUAUAUAUAUUUAUCCAUAUAUUUUACCAGAUACAGGUCAGCAUAAGUAUGGUGUUUCACAUAAAUCCGUUGCGCUGAAUGAUUAUUUCACCCAUAUUUUGACAUUUUAUUUGAAAGAUUAAAGCAGACACUUUACUUGUAUUUACUUGUAUUACUUGUAUUUCACAAUUAGUUACUGUCCUCGAGUAUCUUUUUGUAGUUUAACUGAGUAUCAAAUGUAUUAGCAAAUUUUACUCUCUACUUCACUACAUUUUUUUAAUCAAGAUAUGUACUCUUUACUCCAGUACCUUUGUAAAGAUUCAUGCAAUUACUCGUUACAUUCUGCAUGGCACCAGGCUUUUCUGCAGCAGUUUAUUUCUGCUACAAAAGACGGAAUAUUACACAGAGGAAGUCACGUGACACGAUCAGGAAACCACUUUUAAGAAAUCCACCCCAGACCUCGUAAAGAUUUCCUAACUCACCAUUUCAAAAGAUUAAAAACUGGUCAAAAGUUAGUGUUAAUCUACAGUGUUCGGCCAAAACAAUGGUUUAACCAACCAUACGUUUAUAAACACAACUCAAGCUGAAGGAAGUGAUGUAACAGAACUCUAACACACUGAAAAACACACUCUCAAUCAGCAGAAAAACAGAAAAAGUGUAUAUAUAUAUACAUAUAUAUAUAUAUAUAUAUAUAUAUAUAUAUAUAUAUAUAUAUAUAUAUAUAUAUAUAUAUAUAUAUAUAUAUAUAUAUAUAUAUCCCUCCACAUGACUGUACAAUAUGCAUGCAAAUAAACCUUGACAUACUUAUAUAUCCAACUUAAAUAUCCAUAUAAAGAUCUGGCCUAUAACUUACAUGAAUAUUAUAUUAUAACUUACAUGAAUAUUACAAUUUUAAUUACAAUAUACUGUAUGUAUGCAGACAAAAAUUGUACAAACUUAUAAAACCAAUUUUAUAUACAUCUAUACAUACUCUUAGUAUGAUAUACAGAGCUUUUCACUGAACAAAUUUUCACUGAAAGCAACAAAGAUUCAACUGAUCUGAGUGCAUUUCCAUUUAUGCUUUUAGCAGACGUGUUUACAUAGAUUUACUGUAAAUUCAAGCUAUGAAGUUUUUAUUUGAGAAUUGAACUCUUGACUAGUUUAGCUGGUAGAAACGAAUAGGUUACAAUUUACUAUCAACCAACACUACAGGACUUAUGUGUGCAAACCUUUAGACAUUUAUCAGGCCUUUCCCAGGUCUUUCCCCGAACUCGAGGAAUGAAAUUUAAGACAUUAUUAAUGCAAUAUUUAUCUGUAAACAGAAGGUUUUUGUAAACCAGGGUCAUUAAUUAACUGAUUUUGUACAUUCGUGAGGGCAGUUUUUAUCACCACCUUAAUAAUUGUAUCUGUGUUGUCUUUAAUGUCAAAUACUUGAAUUUAACAAAUUACUUCAAUUAAUCAAAAUACUUUAAACUGUUGCCAGUAACAACUGACUGUUUGAAAUCAUAUCUUAAUUAUACAUUUAAAAACAGGAGCCAAUAUGGCUGCAAUAUUAUGACAACAUUCGUUAUUGUCGAUUAUUGCCUCUUGAUAUUGUAAUAAUGAUUAUUAAUACGGAUUAAUGGAAUACAUAUAAAAAUCGCUUCAUCUGGAAAGCAUCCGCUGUGUACAAACAUCUGAUAGACGUCUUUAAGAUGUCAGUUUACAUUCAUUCUAAAUCAUAAACAUCUUAAAGACAUCUUCUAAAUGUCUAUUUGACAUCUGGUAGGAAAUGUCCUAUAGAUGUAUUGCAGAUGAACAAACACUAAAAAAAAAUACGUCUUGCAGAUGUAAUGCAGAGGUCAGAUAGAGUCUCUUUGUGCAAUCAGGGACAUGCAUUCUAAAUCAUAAACAUCUUAAAGACAUCUUAUUAACAUGUAUUUGACAUCUGAUAGGAAACUUCCUAUAGACAUUUUGCAGAUGAACAAACACUCUAAAAAAUACGUCUUGCAGAUGUAAUGCAGACGUCAAAUAGACGUCUCUGUGACGUACGUGUGCUAUCAGGGUGUGUUUUCAUGACUUUUGAGCACUUGUGCACAUCAAUCACCUCCUCGAGAUUCAUGAUUAAAAGCUAACUUUCAAGGUUUUUCUUGCCAUCGUAUAGUCGCAGUUGCAAAUCGAGAAGCGCUAAAAACUGAAUUGCACAGAAGUUCAAGGGGAAAUAAUGUGCGAUUGGUUUCCUCUUUUUUCCAUUGUUUUGUUUACUCAUCUGACAGUUCAGCCCAGACAUGUACGUUAAAGCUCACGCUAUACAACCCGUAACACCACAUAUCAACACACAGUACCAUUGUUAACAUGUCAAGCUAAAUAAUUUACAAACGCAAAGAGAUAUGUGCUUUAUAUAACCUAUAAAACUCCCAAAGCCAAACAUAAGUGAAAAUAAGCAUCCGGUUUCUCAGGGAAAGUGCGAUCCUACACGAGUUUUGCUGUGAAACUAGUGUCUCUGUACCUGCGAGUAAACACACUCCUCCUGAAGCUGCUGCUGUGGAGCGUUUGAGUGGUUCGGAGUGAAUGUCACCUCGCCGUACUGAACCUCCUCCUCCUUCUUCUUCUUCUUCCUCUUUGUCUGCGUUCGGACCUCGGAGUAUUCCACAUCAGCAGCCAGGAAAGAUUCUGUGGCGAGAGAGGAGAAAUGAGGACAAGAGAGAAUAUAUAACCAGCAGUGAAAUGACUGGUUUGACUAACUGACAAACAAAGCUUUUCAGGAGUGAAACUAUUUCACUGAGAAUGUAGCAAACAAUAAUGAUAAAAAAAGAUCAAAUCCAGUGCAAGUUAAACUAGCGAUGGGAAGAUCGGAUCAUUUUAAUUUCUCGUUCUCAUUCAAUAAAAUCAACAAUC
ensembl:lncRNA